rnacentral:tRNA from 1 species
GGAACAUAGCUCAGCUGGUGGCAGCGUCUGACUGUUAAUCAGAAGGUCGGCGGUUCGAAUCCGGCCC